rnacentral:misc_RNA from 1 species
GAGUGAGAUACCUUUUAUGGAUUAGAUUAAGCAGGGUGCGGAGGGUUACUGACUUUUUCCAGAAGAUGGAGAAAGAUAUUCGGAUCAAUUAUCUCUUCACUAGGAUUGUAAAGCUUAUCACUGUUGAACUUUAUUGCACGCAUACAGCAGCUUGCAUCUUUUACUUUCUGGCAACUACUCUGCCUGAAGAGAAAGAAGGCUACACAUGGAUUGGUAGUUUGACCCUGGGAGAUUACAGUUAUUCAC